UAAGUCCCCGUCGGGUAAGGACUAACCAUUCACCCGUAUUGAGUGUUGCGUAUCGGUAGGAUGUAAAUUUUUUUUUUACAGAACGAAUGAUACGAAGCGUACACAGAGAAACUAAUAGACCA
rfam:Beggiatoa sp. PS contig21066_2189, whole genome shotgun sequence.